GGAUGAACGCUGACAGAAUGCUUAACACAUGCAAGUCUAUGAGAAGAUCUACUUCGGUAGAAGGUAUCAUGGCGGACGGGUGAGUAACGCGUAAAGAACUUGCCUCAUAGACUGGGAUAACAGAUGGAAACGUCUGAUAAGACUAGAUAUAAUAGCGACAUGGCAUCAUGUUGUUAUGAAAGGUAACACUAAGAGAGAGCUUUGCGUCCUAUUAGUUAGUUGGUGAGGUAAUGGCUCACCAAGACGAUGAUAGGUAGCCGGCCUGAGAGGGUGAACGGCCACAAGGGGACUGAGAUACGGCCCUUACUCUUACGGGAGGCAGCAGUGGGGAAUAUUGGACAAUGGAGGAAACUCUGAUCCAGCAAUUCUGUGUGCACGAUGAAGGUUUUCGGAUCGUAAAGUGCUUUCAGUAGGGAAGAAGAAAGUGACGGUACCUACAGAAGAAGCGACGGCUAAAUACGUGCCAGCAGCCGCGGUAAUACGUAUGUCGCAAGCGUUAUCCGGAAUUAUUGGGCGUAAAGGGCAUCUAGGCGGUCAAUCAAGUCGAAGGUGAAAACUUGUGGCUCAACCAUAAGCUUGCCUACGAAACUGAUUAACUAGAGUACUGGAGAGGUGGACGGAACUACACGAGUAGAGGUGAAAUUCGUAGAUAUGUGUAGGAAUGCCGAUGAUGAAGAUAGUUCACUGGACAGAAACUGACGCUGAAGUGCGAAAGCUAGGGGAGCAAACAGGAUUAGAUACCCUGGUAGUCCUAGCUGUAAACGAUGAUCACUGGGUGUGGGCAGGAAGACUGUCUGUGCCGAAGCUAACGCGAUAAGUGAUCCGCCUGGGGAGUACGACCGCAAGGUUAAAACUCAAAGGAAUUGACGGGGGCCCGCACAAGCAGUGGAGCGUGUGGUUUAAUUCGAGGCAACGCGCAGAACCUUACCAGGGUUUGACAUCAUACCGACGUCUGUAGAAACACAGAUUUCCGCUUAGGCGGACGGUAUGACGGGUGUUGCAUGGUUGUCGUCAGCUCGUGUCGUGAGAUGUUGGGUUAAGUCCCGCAACGAGCGCAACCCCUAUCCAAUGUUGCCAACAGGUAAAGCUGGGGACUCAUUGGAGACUGCCGGAGACGAUCUGGAGGAAGGUGGGGAUGAGGUCAAAUCAUCAUGGCCCUUAAGCCCUGGGCUACACACGCGCUACAAUGGCCGGUACAACGGGCAGCGAAGGAGCGAUCCGGAGCGAAUCCCAAAAAGCCGGCCCCAGUUGGAAUCGCAGGCUGCAACUCGCCUGCGUGAACAUGGAAUUGCUAGUAAUCGCGAAUCAGCUACGUCGCGGUGAAUACGUUCCCGGGCCU
rnacentral:rRNA from 1 species